rnacentral:rRNA from 1 species
CGUCGUCAGCUUACCCUGUGAAGGUACUAUAGUAAGCAAAACUAGUAAAACUCAAAACGCCAGGUCGAGGUGUAGCAUAUGAGGGGGGAAGAAAUGGGCUACAUUCCCUACUUUAGGGAACACGGACAAUGUAAUGAAAAGUACAUUAAAAGGAGGAUUUAGCAGUAAGCAAAAAAUAGAGCGUUUUGCUGAAACUGGCCCUGAAGCGCGCACACACCGCCCGUCACUCUCCCCAAGCCAACUUUUAAAAUAUACAUAAUACAUUUUUAGGAACUAAGGGGAGGCAAGUCGUAACAUGG